rnacentral:lncRNA from 1 species
UUCUUUUAUUGAAUAUUGUGAAUGCGAUGCUUCUUACAAAAUGACUAGGGUCCCUUUAUAUACUAGGGGGAAUCCCAAUAUAGUACAAGUGUAUUUAUUACAAAGAUAUAUGGCUGGUACAUCAUUUAAUGCCACAGUACGGGCUUGAUCUAGCAUAAUAGAUUUGGUCAGCUUUAGUCGUGUGCCUUGGGAACUUCCCAUUGGUCUAUCAUAGCCGCUAAUUUGUAUUGCCUCGAGAUCGAGCGUAUGGAAGCCCUCGGAGCCGGGCCUUGAGCCUUUCGAGAACGGGCUGUAGGACAUCAUAAUGAUCAUAAAAUCGGGCUCUUCGAUUUUAGCCAUAUACAAGGCACAAUCGGGCACUUGGGGCAUAAGCCUCACAGAAGUAAGCCCCACACGUGAGACUCAGGGUGUUUUGCACUGUCUUACCCAAGGGCAAGUCUCGGGCGAGUCCCGAGCGUUGAGCGUUAGGCAUAUUUAGAAGGCACAAUCGAGCGCUUAGGUCAUAAGCCUCACAGAAGUAAGCCCCACACGUGAGACUCAGGGUCUUUUGCAAUAUCUUGCCCAAGGGCGAGCCUCGGGUGAGUCGUAAAAAAGCCUUUUAAAACACUAGUCAUAUAUGAGAAUUAUUUUUAACCCGAAAUAUACUCAUAUAUUUAAGAUAAAAUUAUUUUACUGGCGCUUAUUUCGUAAUUUUAGUUAUUUAUCUUAACCUUGGCCUCAAACAAUAAUGGCUUUUCUAAAAAUUGAGCAACAACAAGUUAUUAUCAUAGUAACAAAAAUAGAAAAUAUCGAAGAAUGUUUUUACGUUGCAUGAUAUGCAUUGGUUCAUAUAAGUUAAGUACAGGCAGAAGGAAAUGCCAAAGGAAAAAUAAAGCAUUAGAAAGGGAGGACAUUAAGGAUCACACCACACAUAUUUGCAUUCACCUCCUACGAAAUGGCAUUUCCCCCAUUUCACCCUACUCACCACCACCACCGUAAUUUUUUUCCAUUUUUGCUUUUCUUCCUCAAUGAUUUAGUGCAUAUAGUAAGCAAAGAUGGACAAGAGUGUGGCUCCAAUCAAAGUUCCCACAGCGGGCAAAGCGACAGCAGCAUCGCUGGUUGGCGACGGAGCCGGGGCGUCACUUGGGCUCAUUUGAGCCAUGGCAGCGCUCAUGGAGGCUGCGGCAACUAGGGCGGCACAAGUGAUCUUCUUCAUCUCCAUAGCGAAAGUUGAUCAGACGAGCUGAAAUAGAGAUAAGGCGAAAAUUAACGUCUCAACGGAAAGUUGAGAUGUAAUCGCCGAAUUUUCCUUGCCUGCCUUGUU